UACGAAGGGGGCUAGCGUUGCUCGGAAUUACUGGGCGUAAAGCGCACGUAGGCGGCUCUUUAAGUCGGUGGUGAAAUCCUGGAGCUCAACUCCAGAACUGCCUUCGAUACUGGAGAGCUUGAGUCCGGGAGAGGUGAGUGGAACUGCGAGUGUAGAGGUGAAAUUCGUAGAUAUUCGCAAGAACACCAGUGGCGAAGGCGGCUCACUGGCCCGGUACUGACGCUGAGGUGCGAAAGCGUGGGGAGCAA
rnacentral:rRNA from 1 species